rnacentral:rRNA from 1 species
GUGCAGCAGGCGAGAAUCGUUCACAAUGGGCGCAAGCCUGAUGGCGCGACGCCGCGUGUGGGAUGGGAGGCCUUCGGGUUGUAAACCACUGUCACAGGGGAAGAAAGGCACGGAUGCUAACAUCGUCCGUGUUUCGACGUUAACCCCUGAGAGGAAGCCACGGCUAACUCCGUGCCAGCAGCCGCGGUAAUACGGAGUGGCAAGCGUUGUUCGGAAUUACGU